CCUGUUAUCGUCUAGUGGUUAGGACACCAGGUUCUGAUUUCCCAAAUUCCUGGGAACCCCGGUUCAAACCCGGGUAACAGGU